rnacentral:ncRNA from 1 species
UGUACCACACGAGAAUUAGGUGCCAAUUUGGCAUAAUAGGGAAUCUGGUGUAAUUCCAGAACUGUCCCCGCAACUGUAAGUGUGACGAACUGAGAUUGACCACUGUACUAAGUAUGGGAAGGCUCACAGUAGGACGAACACAAGUCAGGAGACCUGCCUAUAUCUUGAUGAAGUU